GGAUCAAACUCCUGGAAGGCACUGAUGAGAUCGGACUUAUGUACGAACAGUUGUUCCCUCAGAGCUCUCAGAGCUGAUCUCUCUGUCCACCCGACACUGACAAAGAACAGGGUGAGCUCUCUGCAUGUCCUGCUGGCCUGGUACUGAAUGAAGUGGGGGACCAGAUCGGGGCCCAUUCUGAUGUAGGCUCCUCUGUUGCUGCCAACCUCGUAGUAGUUAGAUGCUGAAAAUAUAGUCAGCACCUGAAUGCAAUAGAAGACAUUUAGUAAAUGUGCUAAGACUUUGUAUGUGAUCCACUGAUUGCUGCUUAAAUGAGUGGAUUUGUCACAACUUGUGUUAAGCCAUUUUGCAAAUUCUUACACGUUUUCCCGGUUUUUCAUCUCCUGUCAUACUUACCAAAGCCACUCAAAAUAAAAGUACUUUUACAAAAUCAGUUUUCCACCUUAA